rnacentral:rRNA from 1 species
AGUGAACGCUGGCGGUAGGCCUAACACAUGCAAGUCGAACGGCAGCACAGUAAGAGCUUGCUCUUACGGGUGGCGAGUGGCGGACGGGUGAGGAAUACAUCGGAAUCUACUUUUUCGUGGGGGAUAACGUAGGGAAACUUACGCUAAUACCGCAUACGACCUACGGGUGAAAGCAGGGGAUCUUCGGACCUUGCGCGAUUGAAUGAGCCGAUGUCGGAUUAGCUAGUUGGCGGGGUAAAGGCCCACCAAGGCGACGAUCCGUAGCUGGUCUGAGAGGAUGAUCAGACACAAUGGAGCUGAGACACGGUCCAGACUCCUACGGGAGGCAGCAGUGGGGAAUAUUGGACAAUGGGGGCAAGACUGAUACAGCCAUACCGCGUGGGUGAAGAAGGCCUUCGGGUUGUAAAGCCCUUUUGUUGGGAAAGAAAAGCAGCAGGUUAAUACCCCGCUGUUCUGACGGUACCCAAAGAAUAAGCACCGGCUAACUUCGUG